UUACGGCCAUAUCACGUUGAAACACCGGUUCCCUUAUGAUCACCGAAGUUAAGCAACGUUGAACUUGGUCAGUACCGUGAUGGGUGACCGCAUGGAAAUACCAGC
rnacentral:rRNA from 1 species